ACAGACAGAGCGAGUCAGAGUGCGGGAGAGAGUGUCGAGAGGGCGGCGAGCUCUUCCCCAUUUCCAUGGCGACUCUGGCGGCCAUGCGCACUCUCGGUUCAGGUUUCUGCUCCGUCGUUUCCGCGGUCCUGUGUAUAGAAACAAAAGAGGUCUAAUGGUUUUCCAGUGUCAUUAACCUUCACAAGAUAUUCUGGGAAGUUUUUUUGCUUCAGUUGUUGAUGCUUUGAGACCUAGGCAGAUUUCCAAGGUCCCAAGUUGUAAAGCAUGAUCCGGUGUAAGUGCUUCCGCUGGAUUUGUGUGUUUGUAUGAUUGGUAAUACCGAAUUUAAAGGUUGGUUCCUAGAUCUUUCUUUAUGAUGGAGCAUUUGUGUUGUUCUUGGGGGUAGAAGUGUUCCAGGUGUGAAGAGAAUAACAAGGGAUCGAUCAGAUGUGAAUGGGAUGAAGUGAUUCUGUGAGCAACUACCAGAUUUGCCCCAUGUUCAGGUGCAAAGGGGCCUCAGAUGCAACAGUCAGGUUUAGUGCAUUUAUUACACUGUUACGUUUUUUACUGAAACUAUUUUGGUUUUCAGUCCUUUUUUGUCUCGUGAUAUAAAUUCACAUACAUUCAUUUUUUCUGUUGUUUCUUUUGUCGUACAUACAUAUAUACAUACACGUGUCAUGUUGUCACUGGAUGAAAAAAUUGAUUGAAGUCCAAUUUGUUUCGAGUCGACUGUAAUAUAGACACUCCCUAAAUAAAAGUAGUAUUCUAAUAAAAUAGCUAGCAUGUAGGCGGACAGGUUGAUGACUAGUUUAUAAGUGAUGAUAUUUGUGAGUUCAGAUAGCCUUCAAAAUUUAUCAUUUAAUUGGUGUACUUGUUUCUUUUUUUAUUAAUAGUUUUUUUUUGGUUUUCUCAAUUUAUUCACUAAGUGAGUUAGU